CUCUCACCAUGUGAUGCACCUGCUCCUCGUUUGCUUUCCACCUGAUUGUAAGGUUCCUGAGGCCUUACCAGAAGCCAAGCAAAUGUUGGUGCCGUGCUUAUACAGCCUGCAGAACUGCCGAAGAAUGGAGGUUAUGUUAGCAGAUAUGAAAAACCCAUCAAUUUCCUUGUACAUCUCCAUCAGAGGUCUUGGAUGAUCAGCUUCCUAAGGAGCUCAGCUCAGGGGUGAAGGGCAUCCUCUUUGAGGAACAACACUGCAGGCUCGAUAUGAGUUCU